rnacentral:rRNA from 1 species
ACGUAGGUGGCAAGCGUUAUCCGGAUUUACUGGGUGUAAAGGGCGUGUAGGCGGGACUGCAAGUCAGAUGUGAAAACUAUGGGCUCAACCCAUAGCCUGCAUUUGAAACUGUAGUUCUUGAGUGCUGGAGAGGCAAUCGGAAUUCCGUGUGUAGCGGUGAAAUGCAUAGAUAUACGGAGGAACACCAGUGGCGAAGGCGGAUUGCUGGACAGUAACUGACGCUGAGGCGCGAAAGCGUGGGGAGCAAACAGG